AACUCUGGUAUUGAUUGGUGCUUGCAUCAUGAUUUACAUUUGAGUGAGUGGCGAACUGGUGAGUAACAGGUGGGAAACCUGCCCAGAAGCGGGGGAUAACACCUGGAAACAGAUGCUAAUACCGCAUAACAACUUGGACCGCAUGGUCCGAGCUUGAAAGAUGGCUUCGGUUAUCACUUUUGGAUGGUCCCGCGGCGUAUUACCUAAUGGUGGGGUAACGGCUCWCCAUGRSUAUGAUACGUWGCCRACCUGAGAAGGUAAUCGGCCACAUUGGGACUGAUACACGGCCCAAACUCCUACGGGAGGCAGCAGUAGGGAAUCUUCCGCAAGGGACGAAAGUCUGAUGGAGCAACGCCGCGUGAGUGAAGAAGGGUUUCGGCUCGUAAAACUCUGUUGUUAAAGAAGAACAUAUCUGAGAGUAACUGUUCAGGUAUUGACGGUAUUUAACCAGAAAUCCACGGCUAACUACGUGCCAGCAACCGCUGUAAUACGUAGGUGGCAAGCGUUGUCCGGAUUUAUUGGGCUUAAAGCGAGCGCAGGCGGUUUUUUAAGUCUGAUGUGAAUGCCUUCUGCUCCACCGAAGAAGUGCUUCGUAAACUGGGGAAACUUGAGUGCAGAACAGGACACUGGAACUCCAUGUGUAUCGUUGAAAUGCGUAGAUAUAUUGGAA
rnacentral:rRNA from 1 species